rnacentral:rRNA from 1 species
UACGAAGGGGGCUAGCGUUGUUCGGAAUCACUGGGCGUAAAGCGCACGUAGGCGGAUCUUUAAGUCAGGGGUGAAAUCCCGAGGCUCAACCUCGGAACUGCCUUUGAUACUGGGGAUCUCGAGUCCGGGAGAGGUGAGUGGAACUGCGAGUGUAGAGGUGAAAUUCGUAGAUAUUAGGAAGAACACCAGUGGCGAAGGCGGCUCACUGGCCCGGUACUGACGCUGAGGUGCGAAAGCGUGGGGAGCAAACAGG